UACGGGGGGAGCAAGCGUUGUUCGGAUUUACUGGGCGUAAAGGGCGCGUAGGCGGCCACCGCAAGUCGACUGUGAAAUCUCCGGGCUUAACCCGGAAAGGUCAGCCGAUACUGCGGGGCUAGAGUGCAGAAGGGGGCAACUGGAAUUCUCGGUGUAGCGGUGAAAUGCGUAGAUAUCGAGAGGAACACCUGCGGCGAAGGCGGCAUCCUGGACCGAUACUGACGCUGAGGAGCGAAAGCCAGGGGAGCAAACGGG
rnacentral:rRNA from 1 species